rnacentral:rRNA from 1 species
AUACGUAGGUGGCGAGCGUUGUCCGGAAUUAUUGGGCGUAAAGAGCAUGUAGGCGGCUUAAUAAGUCGAGCGUGAAAAUGCGGGGCUCAACCCCGUAUGGCGCUGGAAACUGUUAGGCUUGAGUGCAGGAGAGGAAAGGGGAAUUCCCAGUGUAGCGGUGAAAUGCGUAGAUAUUGGGAGUAAUACCAGUGGCGAAGGCGCCUUUCUGGACUGUAUCGGACGCUGAGCUGCGAAAGCCAGGGUAGCAACCGGGAUUAGAUACCCGGGGAGUCCUAGCCGUAAACGAUGUGUACUAGGUGUAGGAGGUAUCGACCCCUUCUGUGCCGGAGUUAACGCAAUAAGUACCCCGCCUGGGGAGUACGGCCGCAAGGUUGAAACUCAAAUGAAUUGACGGGG